rnacentral:misc_RNA from 1 species
UCCGGCUUUCACCGGCUGUCUCUUUAGAGUGCCCAACUCAAUGCUGGCAACUAAAGAUAAGGGUUGCGCUCGUUGCGGGACUGAACCCAACAUCUCACGACACGAGCUGACGACAACCAUGCACCACCUGUCACCACUGCCCCGAAGGGAGAGUGUAUCUCUACACUGGUCAGUGGGAUGUCAAGCCUUGGUAAGGUUCUUCGCGUUGCUUCGAAUUAAACCACAUGCUCCACCGCUUGUGCGGGCCCCCGUCAAUUCCUUUGAGUUUCAGCCUUGCGGCCGUACUCCCCAGGCGGAGUGCUUAAUGUGUUAACUUCGGCACUGAGGGUGGAACCCCCCAACACCUAGCACUCAACGUUUACGGCUGGGACUAC